UACGGGGGGGGCAAGCGUUGUUCGGAAUUACUGGGCGUAAAGGGCUCGUAGGCGGCCAACUAAGUCAUACGUGAAAUCCCUCGGCUUAACCGGGGAACUGCGUCUGAUACUGGAUGGCUUGAGUUCGGGAGAGGGAUGCGGAAUUCCAGGUGUAGCGGUGAAAUGCGUAGAUAUCUGGAAGAACACCGGUGGCGAAGGCGGUGGUCUGGGCCGUGACUGACGCUGAGGAGCGAAAGCCAGGGGAGCGAACGGG
rnacentral:rRNA from 1 species